AGAGAGAGACAUGCGCGCAUAUCAAUAAGCGGAGGAAAAGAAACUAACUAGGAUUCCCUCAGUAACGGCGAGUGAAGCGGGAAGAGCUCAAAUUUGAAAUCUUCAAGGUUUUACCUUGACGAAUUGUAGUUUAAAGAAGUGUUUUCUGUUGGAUGUUUUGGUAAAAGUUCUUUGGAAUAGGACAUCAUAGAGGGUGAGAAUCCCGUAUUUGACCAUUAUUUCCAACUUUGUGAUACACUUUCAAAGAGUCGGAUUGUUUGGGAAUGCAGUCCAAAAUGGGUGGUAAAUUUCAUCUAAAGCUAAAUAUUGGCGAGAGACCGAUAGCGAACAAGUACCGUGAGGGAAAGAUGAAAAGAACUUUGAAAAGAGAGUUAAACAGUACGUGAAAUUGUCAAAAGGGAAGCGUUUGACACCAGUGUUGUUUUUCCGAAAAUCAAUUACGAAUGUUUUAUUUUUGAGGAGUUAUGACUUCAUCGGCUUGCUCCUUUCUUUACGAAACUUUCUUAAUGCACUUUUCGGUUAACAAGUCAACAUCAAUUUCUUUUGUUGUAAAAGGGUAUGAGGAAGGUGGCUUUCUUUUCGGAGAAAGUGUUUAUAGCCUUGUGCCUCUGCAAUCGGAGAGAUUGAGGUCUGCAGCGUAGAUCCUUCGGGGUUAGAUACGUUUGUGCUAAGUUAUAGCUUUUCAUAGACAACUUGUUGACUAUGUUUAGUCUUGUAGCUUACUCGCUUACUGCUAUUUUACCUACGCUUAGGAUGUUGAUAGUCACAGCGUGUAC
rnacentral:rRNA from 1 species